AACCUAGUCCUGUCCAUGAAGGCACCAGUAGUCACCAGCUCCACCACCCUGUAGACAAGGCACCAAACGAACCUCUGUGGCUCAAGGAAACAUCUCACUCGGAUGUCCUGUCCUGUCUACUCAAGACCAGUAAACAACACCUAAAAAGAACAUCAUCUCUUUAUUUCUGCUUGGGAUAGAAAUGUUCAGUUUGGAUCAUGAGAAUGAGGCAAGCACUGGAGACGAUGGCUGGCUCUUCUGUUUGUCCCAGUAAACUCCAAUGGAGGAAGAAGCUAAACGGGAUCUGGACGGUUUUGGUUUAUUGUAUGCAGCCUAUCAAAUCUACAGCCUGGUACUUCUGGAACAAGACUGCCCUAGUGAUGACAGUUAAAGAUGGCAAAAUGAAGAAUUCAACAUGUAUACGCAGUGCAGUCUGCUGUCUUCAGGUAUUCUCUAAAAUUCUGUAUUUGGUCAGA